rnacentral:rRNA from 1 species
GAGGAAAGAGGGAGGCGUGCCUAAUACAUGCAAGUCGAGCGAACAGACGAGGAGCUUGCUCCUUUGACGUUAGCGGCGGACGGGUGAGUAACACGUAGGUAACCUACCUAUAAGACUGGGAUAACUUCGGGAAACCGGAGCUAAUACCGGAUAAUAUUUCGAACCGCAUGGUUCGAUAGUGAAAGAUGGCUUUGCUAUCACUUAUAGAUGGACCUGCGCCGUAUUAGCUAGUUGGUAAGGUAACGGCUUACCAAGGCAACGAUACGUAGCCGACCUGAGAGGGUGAUCGGCCACACUGGAACUGAGACACGGUCCAGACUCCUACGGGAGGCAGCAGUAGGGAAUCUUCCGCAAUGGGCGAAAGCCUGACGGAGCAACGCCGCGUGAGUGAUGAAGGUCUUCGGAUCGUAAAACUCUGUUAUUAGGGAAGAACAAACGUGUAAGUAACUGUGCACGUCUUGACGGUACCUAAUCAGAAAGCCACGGCUAACUACGUG